rnacentral:rRNA from 1 species
GAGAGUUAGGUAAAUCCGGCUCUCUUUAAGGCUGAGACACGACGUCGAGUCACUACGGUGAUGAAGUCAUUGAUGCCAUGCUUCCAGGAAAAGCCUCUAAGCUUCAGAUUGUAAGGAAUCGUACCCCAAACCGACACAGGUGGUCGGGUAGAGAAUACCAAGGCGCUUGAGAGAACUCGGGUGAAGGAACUAGGCAAAAUGGUACCGUAACUUCGGGAGAAGGUACGCUCUCGACGGUGAAGUCCCUCGCGGAUGGAGCUAUUGAGAGUCGCAGAUACCAGGUGGCUGCAACUGUUUAUUAAAAACAC